CACAAUAAACAUAUGAAGGCUGCACCGCCAACAGGCGGCAAGGCUGGAGUAUUUUAUUACCCUUGUCUUUUGCGCACUUGUUGUUUCCUGGGCGGGUUCGCCCGCCCUCCAGGACCACAUGAUAAACCUUUUUUAUGCAGUUGCAAUCAGCGUCAGUACAAACAAAUGUAAAUCAUUUA
rnacentral:misc_RNA from 1 species